UGAGGAAUAUUGGUCAAUGGGAGGAGCCCUGAACCAGCCAUGCCGCGUGCAGGACGACGGCUCUACGAGUUGUAAACUGCUUUUGUACCGGGGUAAAAUGCUCUACGAGUAGGGUUUUGAAAGUACGGUACGAAUAAGGAUCGGCUAACUCCGUGCCAGCAGCCGCGGUAAUACGGAGGAUCCGAGCGUUAUCCGGAUUCAUUGGGUUUAAAGGGUGCGUAGGUUGUUUUAUAAGUUAGCGGUGAAAUACCGAUGCUCAACAUCGGGGCUGCCGCUAAUACUGUAGGACUAGAGAUCGGAUGCAGCAGGCGGAAUGUGUAGUGUAGCGGUGAAAUGCAUAGAUAUUGCGCAGAACUCCGAUUGCGAAGGCAGCGUACUGGCGCCUGACUGACGCUGAGGCACGAAAGCGUGGGGAUCGAACAGGAUUAGAUACCC
rnacentral:rRNA from 1 species